rnacentral:rRNA from 1 species
UACGAAGGGAGCUAGCGUUGUUCGGAAUCACUGGGCGUAAAGCGCACGUAGGCGGAUGUGUCAGUCAGGGGUGAAAUCCCGGAGCUCAACUUCGGAACUGCCCUUGAUACAGCACGUCUUGAGUCCGAGAGAGGUGGAUGGAAUUCCUAGUGUAGAGGUGAAAUUCGUAGAUAUUAGGAAGAACACCGGUGGCGAAGGCGGUCCACUGGCUCGGUACUGACGCUGAGGUGCGAAAGCGUGGGGAGCGAACAGG